UGAAGUUGAGAUCUUGUCGACGCUGAGCAGUUCAAUUUUGGGUGUCGAUCAUAGAUCGGACGGCUCGUGGAGCACUGUAUGCUUGCUCUGCCUCUGCGGCAGCGUUACCACGUCCCGCCGCGUUGUGCACAUGCAGAGAAGCAGACAGAGCUUCACUGCUUCAGCUUGUAAGGUUUUGCUGCACAGCUGGUUAGGUAACUGAAGCAAGUUAAGCAGCACAUCGAGAUGGGCAGCGAGGAAGCGCCGCUGCUGGUGCCGGCGCCGGCGCCGGCGGUGGAGGGGUGCCCCGGGUGCGCGAUGGAGCGGAGGAAGGCGAGCAGCAAAGGGAGGAUACCCUACCGGGAGUUCUUCUUCGUCGGCGUCACCACCCUCGCCUCAUCUUUACCAAUCACGUGUCUCUUCCCGUUCCUCUAUUUUAUGGUAAGGGACUUCCACAUUGCUAAAACAGAGGAGCAUAUCGGCUUUUAUGCUGGUUUUCUUGCUGCAUCGUACAUGCUCGGCAGAGGCUUUUCUGCAAUCUUUUGGGGUAUCGUCUCAGACCGUGUUGGACGGAAGCCUGUCAUUGCAUUCUCAAUCUUGUCUGUGGUCAUAUUUAACACAUUAUUCGGUCUAAGCACAACGUAUUGGAUGGCAAUCACUACAAGACUUGUGCUGGGUGCUCUAAAUGGUUUACUUGCCCCAAUAAAGGCUUAUUGUGUUGAAGUUUGUCAAACUGAACAUCAAGCUCUUGGACUCUCAGUUGUGAACACGGCAUGGGGUUUGGGUCUUAUUGUCGGUCCAGCUCUUGGAGGCUACCUUGCACAGCCUACUGAGAAAUAUCCUCACAUAUUUUCUGAGGGUUCUGUUUUCGGCAGAUUCCCUUAUCUCUUACCAUGUCUAAGUGUAUCAUCAUUCGCUGCUAUUAUCCUAAUAAGCUGUACAUGGCUUCCGGAGACGAUACAUAAACAUAAAGUUCCUGAAAAGGAUACCAAAAUAGUCAAAGCCUUGCCAUCAGAAAAGGGUUAUUGGGAUUCACCUCGCAAGACGAGUUUGCUCCAGAACAAGCCUUGGAUAUCAACUAUGCUACCUUACUGUUUCUUUGGUCUUCAUGACACAGCAUAUAGUGAGAUACUUUCUUUAUGGGCUGCGAGCGAUCGGAAGUAUGGUGGCCUUAGCUUCUCAACUGAAGAUAUUGGUGAGGUUCUUGCUAUGACAGGUGCUGGUCUUCUUGUAUAUCAGCUUAUCAUUUAUCACUGGGUCCAUAAGAUUCUUGGAACAGUCAACUCAUCACGUAUUGCUUCUGCUGUGUCUAUACUUGUUCUUGCAACUUAUCCCUUUAUGACAUACCUAUCUGGAGUCAAACUUUCCUUCGCUCUUUAUUCUGCGGCCAUGAUGAAAAGUGUUCUUGCAAUUACUGCCACCACAGGAAUUUGCCUUCUACAGAACAAUGCUGUGUGCCAAGAACAAAGAGGCACCGCAAAUGGUAUAUCGACAACUACAAUGUCAUUUUUCAAAGCAAUUGCUCCAAUAGGUGCCGGGGCUCUAUUCUCAUGGGCACAAAAACGUCAAGAUGCCGCUUUCCUGCCUGGUGAUGAGGUGGUGUUCGUGAUGCUGAAUUUGGUGCAGCUCCUUGGGCUCAUAUUUACCUUCGAACCUUUCCUUGUGUUACCUACAGCACAAGAUCAGAGUCAUUAGGGGUUAUCUACCUUGGAAGAUAACUACUAGCACAAAAAGGAAAGAAGGGAAAGGAAACCACCUCCUUACUCGAGUGUCACCUUUGUGGACAUGCCGGCCGGCCGCCUCAAAUAUUCGGAGGAUAAUCCAAUGAUAAUAUGGAGUCCGAUACUUGACGACCCUUCGAGCUAGGUAGGCCAAGGUGGAUGAUGACGGCCGCUGCACGGGGGACGAGCAGGAUUUUAUGGCUGGUUGUUUCAGCUUCUUUUCAGGACACUUACUGGAUUUGUUUUUGGUCUUUGCUACAAAAGACGGAGGAUCGGCCUCUUAUAAAAGACGCAUGUCGAAGAAUGGAAUCGACAACGAUGGAAAUUUACGCCCGAUAUGGUUGGCUGUUUAGAAAUAGACUUUCUGCUUGACUAGGCUCGGGCUUUUUUAGUUCACUCAUGUUUUUGCUUAAUCUAUCCGGAAUACUAGAUAUUUUGUUAAACCUUCUAAUAAUGAACGGCUGC